CUCUGUUCCAUGUAGGAUCCCGAUCCUUCAUGUAGUUGUCUUUUGAUCAUCCAUGGGAAUAAGUGUUUCUCGUUUUUCGUUACUGCUGGCACACAUACGAGAAAUAAGAGAUUCUUACCGGUACUGAACUCAAUUUUGUUUAGUGAGAAGAAGAAAUCUAUUGAUACACUUGUUUCAGAUCACAGCUUAUAUAAUUGUUUGAGAUUGUAAUUGAGAAAAUUUUUGGCGAUAUUACGUUGGAGAGACGUUACUGCUACACAAAUUGAAACAUAAUCAGAAAAAAAUGGAUCACAAAAUUUGGGUAUUAUUUAUGCUAGUCACCAUUAGCAUAUUAAUUCAUGAGACAAUGGCAUUACCAAAAUAUUUGUAUUGCCGUGAACAAUUUAAUGAAGGUUACGGCAAACAAUUACUAGAAAGAUUUUUUUUCAACUUUAAAACCCUUGACUGUGAACGUUUUUAUUAUAAAGGCUUUGGAGGAACUCUUAACAAUUUCCAGACCUUAAAUGAAUGCAUUUAUGUAUGUAAGAGCACGUUAAGCAGAACUGUUAAAAAAAUGUUUCACAUAGAUUACUAAAAGUUCUGUACAGUCUUGAUUACAUAUUGUACAUAUUGAUUACAUAUUUGUAUAAGG